rnacentral:misc_RNA from 1 species
UGUUUGCAUGUGGCAGGUGC